UAUGUUAGUUUUCGCGCGGGUGGGUGGGGUGGGGUGGGUGGGCCAAGAUGGUAGACACUGAAACCAAUCUAUAUUUUCAAAUUCUGUUAAGAGACAUUGCCUUGCGUUUUGAUGCUUACGGAAUAUUUAUCACAUGCCGUGCUCAAAAUGUAGUAAACUAAUUUUAGAGAGUUGCGUAAAUACAAGCCUGCAGAAUUGCUCCUGCAGCUGGAUAAUUGGAACCAAAAAUGGUCUUUACAAUGGAUGGCUAGGUGUUUUGAUGGUCCUUACCUUAUUGACCGCAACUUCUGUAUUUACAAUCAUAUUCGUAUCUGCCCCUCUAGUGGAUAGGCUUCUAUUCAUGAGCCUGUUUUUGGUUUUAUGGAAACAAUCAAACAAUAUAAUAUAUAUAUCCCUGGUGCUAUUAUUUCUACUUCUGUAGUUUAGCAGACAAAUUGAUAACUUCGGCAUUCCUUGCUCACUGAGCAAAGACGUUGGUUUCUUGGUCAGAGCGGCACUUUUCCGUAUCGGGCUAUUUCUACAUAGCCGAAGUCGUCUGAAAUGAAAAUUGCAAGCACAAUUUUUGGAGGGAUUUUUUCGUAUGGUAAUCUGCGUUGGUUACAAAAAACUAGCCAUUUAUCGAUACUGCUAGUAAGUAUAUGCAGAUCCUUUAUAGCGUAUUUUUUCACUCUGCAAGGACCAAGAUAAAAUCAAAUAGAUACCUAUGGUAAAAAGAUGGCGAAAUUCUUGAUUGUUGGUGCAUGCCUGACCCUCGAUAGCGGGGCCCAUCCUCACGUCGAUGAAUGCAGAAGCACCAUUUCUCUCUUUUGCUAAAUUUCCACCUAUAUGAAUGGUGUGGCCCAUCCCUGGCGAGCCAUGAUUCCACUGGAUAUGCUUUUAGAAAGAUUAUUGACCAUGGAGGUAAUUUGUAGCACUGUAUUAUUAUGAAUAGAAAUCAGCAAAUAUGUACCAUAACAGUCCAAAUUCCAUUGAUUGCGCUUUCAAGGAUAAUAGUACCCCAUUGCAAAAUAUUCUAGCUUACUGUUUUUUUUGAACCGGGCAUAACCCCUUUCCAUUAACCAAAUAACGGAAAUACAUCAGUCCAAAUCAGACAGAAAGGAUGCGGGAACGGGGAAAGCGAGUCCAACGCAUCGUCGGGAAACCUACUGUAGGUGCUCGUCAUCGAGACACCCACUGCAGGGCGAAAACCCAAUGACACCACCAACUGCCCUGUAACCAGUUAAGCUCACGCAGGAGCAAAAUAGUCAUUACUCUCGCAGGAGUAGGUGCACGCAGAUCACGGAAUAGAGCAGUCAUAAGGAAGAAACAUAGGAACUCAAAAGAGACGGUAACCAGCGCCAGCAACCAGUGCUUCUCAUACCGCACCCGAACUCCUCAAGCGCUUAAGCAGAGGAUGACGUUUUCCCUGUGCAGCUGCACAAAUUCUCAUCAUGUUCCUUGCCUUGUCUUUCAGCACUGCAGCACAAUAUUGUAGAUUUGUCGUUUCCUUUGUAUAGUGCCAUAUUUUAUUUGGAAUGUUGUAGAGCAAACUAACCCUUGUUACGGAUAGUGAUGAGGAGCUGUCUGCUGUUCUCUUAAGCUCUUUGCUGGGUGAAAAGAGAAUGGUGUUGGGACGUUUGGUGGAGCUGAGUGGCAAAGAAGAAUCGGGGCCAAACAAUCCAUAUUCAACGAAAGGGUUGAAGAAAGAGGAACAAACAGAGGGUCACGUUGCUUGAACACUAGGCUCCUGUGGACCGAUACCUCCGUUGUUAUCUCCAGUGAGAUAUGGUGUUCCUCCUCUGCCUUCUCUUUCUAUUCAUCUCUAUGCCCUCCUCUGUUCUGUCAGCUCUUCUAUCACUCUUCGCCUGUUUAUCGUUUCUACUGUAGUUUAAAGAAUUAAUACUUCAUGACUUGCUGCUGCUGUUUUCUCAACACUAGUGCUAAGUGUAUGCCAUUUAUGUUGCUCA